AUGGAAGUGGAAGGGAAAGGGCCUGCUUUUGUGGGGUGCUCGAGUGGGGAACGGGUGAGUAACACAUAAGAAACCUGCCCUUGAUUUGGGGAUAACAUCAGGAAAAUGGGGCUAAUACAGGAAAGGAGAUCCUGCGGCAUGGGGGGGGUUGAAAAGUAUCGGCGGUUGGGGAUGGACUCGAGACUUAACAGCUUGUGGGGGGGGAAGAGGUUUACCAAGGCUUUUACGGGGAGCCGGCCUGAAAAGGAGACCGGCCACAUUGGGAAUGAAAUACGGCCCAAACUCCUACGGGAGGAGGGAAUGGGGAAUAUUGCGGAAUGGGCGGAAUCCUGAUGCACCACCGCCGCGUGAGGAAUAACGGGCUUUGGGUUGUAAACGGUUUUCUCCGGAAAGAAAGGGUGAGUGACGGAAAUGGGUAAAGAAGAACGGGUUAAUUACAUGCCAGCAGCCGCGGUAAUAUAUAGGGUGCAAGCGUUGUCGGGAUUUAUGAGCGAAAAGGGAUCGUAGGGGGUGGAUCGCGUCGGAAGUGAAAUCUGGGGGGUAAAACCGAAGUGUGCUUUCGAUACGGGUUGACUUGAGGAAGGUAGGGGAGAAUGGAAUUCCUGGUGGAGCGGUGGAAUGCGCAGAUAUCAGGAGGAACACCAGUGGCGAAGGCGGUUCUCUGGGCCUUUCCUGACGCUGAGGAGCGAAAGCGUGGGGAGCGAACAGGCUUAGAUACCCUGGUAGUCCACGCUGUAAACGGUGGGUACUAGGUGUGGGGUCCAUUCCACGGGUUCCGUGCCGUAGCUAACGCUUUAAGUACCCCGCCUGGGGAGUACGGCCGCAAGGCUAAAACUCAAAGGAAUUGACGGGGCCCCGCACAAGCGGCGGAGCAUGCGGAUUAAUUCGAUGCAACGCGUAGAACCUUACCUGGGUUUGACAUGGAUCGGGAGUGCUCAGAGAUGGGUGUGCCUCUUUUGGGGUCGGUUCACAGGUGGUGCAUGGCUGUCGUCAGCUCGUGUCGUGAGAUGUUGGGUUAAGUCCCGCAACGAGCGCAACCCUUGUUCACUGUUGCCAGCACGUUAUGGUGGGGACUCAGUGGAGACCGCCGGGGUCAACUCGGAGGAAGGUGGGGAUGACGUCAAGUCAUCAUGCCCCUUAUGUCCAGGGCUUCACGCAUGCUACAAUGGCUGGUACAGAGAGUGGCGAGCCUGUGAGGGUGAGCGAAUCUCGGAAAGCCGGUCUCAGUUCGGAUUGGGGUCUGCAACUCGACCUCAUGAAGUCGGAGUCGCUAGUAAUCGCAGAUCAGCAACGCUGCGGUGAAUACGUUCCCGGGGCU
rnacentral:rRNA from 1 species